ACGUAACAUAAGAGAUGACCAACUUUCAUCUUUUACAGUGCGUUUCUUCCGUCUGGCCAAUCAUAAGGCUGAAUUUUGUUCUGUCACUCAAAGUGGACCCGCCCCGCCCCCUCAUUCCUUGUGUUGUGUAAAAAGUUGAUUGUCAACAUAUUCGAAUUUUGUUAAUUAUUUGUUAAUACAAUGGAUGUUAAGUUAUUAAUUUAAUAAAAAUAUAUCAUAGAGUCAUUUCAAUAUUUCAGAUAAAUAAUAUGAGUUGUUUAUUAGCCUAAUUCGUGGUUAUCCACACAUAUUAUACGAUAGGUAAAUCCAAUAAACAUUUAAAGACCAGGAAAUGAAACAAAAUAGUUGGAAAUCCCACGGCAUGCUGCACCAAAGAGCAUACUUUCGUUUAUUUCCUAAUCCAUGUAACACACAAAACAGAUAAAUAUUAUAAUAAAUAAUAGUAUAAGUAUAAAUAAAUAAACACAAAGUUUGUUUACUGUUCCUAUAAUUUAUAGGCUAUGUUGUUGAAUUAGAAUUAAGUCAUUGUUUACUCUUUCUACUCAUGCGCAAAAAUUCCGCUACGUCGAUCUAUAAAUUGACAUAACAUUUUCUUCCGUCUCCAGUCCGUUUCUUACGUCUACGUUGCGUCUACGUCUACGCUACGUCAAACUAUAAAUCCAACUUAUGUUGUGAGCCAAAUAUCCGAAUCUAAUUAAAUGACAUACUUGACAUUGACAUUUGUACAUUGGUAGAUGACCUUGACUUGACACAAUGUCAUAUCCAAUAUGGCGAUGAGCAGGUUUUUAUGUUUUAUUAUGGAAUAUUAUGUUAUUAAUUAACUAUUAAAAUUAUUAAUUAUUCAUAUAUUUAUAUAAUACAAUAUAAUUUUAUAAUUAUGUAUUUUAUAUGGAACAGAAUAUACCUACUACAAAAGAGUUGUUCCGCCAUAUUGGAUAGUGCGUUUUUGUCAGUGGAAUCGAGCCCAUGCUCAUUUACUUAACCGUAUGUCAUAUCCCCUCUCUCACAUAUCACUGUAGAUGACAAAUAAUGGCAAUGACAAGAAAACUAGUAUGUUGUAAGGUUAAUAGAAAUCUAUUUAUUGAAAUAAAAAGCAUAACAAAUAAUACCUUAAAUUAUCCAAAAAAUUGUUCAAUCCGAAAAUUAUCCGAUGGUCCAUGAAAUUAUCCGAAAAUCGGAUAAUUAUCCGGACAUUGGCAACACUGCACUUAACUCUCUUUAGAUGUUUCACGCAGGUAUCUCAAGGUCAUCCUAAACUAAAUGUCAUUUUUAAAUGAUACGUUUUCUAGGGAGAGAUUAAAAAUAUCCAGCACGCAACCGCGCUGUUGCCAGAUUUACAUAGCGGGAAUUUUAAAAUUUCUAAUGCGAAUUGGUUUAAAAUUUGACAUCCGAAUCUUAACCUUACUUUUGUGAUUAUUUAUUUACAAAUGUAAAUAAAUUAAAACAAGUAUUGUAUGUACUGUGUUAUAAUUUAAAACGCUUAAUUAUGUUAGUCCUAAAAAAAUUAAGCCCAAAAGAGAUAUACUUGUUUACAGUGCAAAUUAAUGGCAAUAGGGAUUUACGAUUUCAUUUGCAGGAAAAACAUGGGCAACCUACCCAGUUGGUAAAAUUUCAAUUCAAAAACUCUUUAGAUUUUACUGUGUGGAUGGCACAGGAAGAGAAACAAAAUAAUAUUCAGUACUGCAGUCACAGGAGUACAAAAACAUGAAGCAUCUUAUUAUGUAUGUAUGCCAUUCUCAAACAAUAAUUAUUGUACAAAACAAGAUAAAGAUAGAGACACAGCUUUAAAAUCCCAAGGAUCCUGCGAAAAGAAAAGUGAAAAUGUUGUCUCAAUUAAUGUAGUAUAGAUAGACAUUUUUCUUUAUUUUAGUAUUAAAUAAUUAUUUAGAAUAUUAAUAUGUAUUAGUUUUAAUAGUAUUAAUAUGUAUUGUAUGAAUAAUUCCCAUCAUGUAUCUGCUAGCUAAAGCAACAAAAUAAAUCAAAAUGAAAAAACAUUUCAGUGACGUAGCACCUUUACUUUACCUGGCGGCGAGGUGAGUUAUUAGGUAAAUUCUAUUUUCUUACAUAAUAUACUUAAAAAUUAAUGGUGGUAUUAUUGUGGUUUAUAUUGAAAGCCAAAGCAAUUAAAAUAAUUUUUUGUGUUAAUUAUUUAACACAUUCACAGACACGACUGCAUAUGAAGUCAUUUGCUCCAUAAGAAGACGUGGCUACAGGCAAAGCGUGUCCGUAAAUGUGUUAAUAAUAAUAAUUUUACAUCUAUUGUGUUACACAUACAUUUUACUAUUAAAGACAAUUAUGAAAAUGUCAAAAACGCCCACAAAGUGGCUUUAAGUUUUAUUACACAGUAUGUGGACUUCAAAUAGGACGAUUAUGUUAAGUAUGAGCAGAACAAAGACUAACAAUUAAUGUUUUAUUGUCAUAGGUUGUCUUUUUUCAUUAUAUUUAAUGCAGCUUU
rnacentral:lncRNA from 1 species